GCAUAAAUGUCAUUGGAAACCUGAUGCCCCUUCUCUCCACCACCCACUCUUCUGCUGAUGAUAGCUAUAACUGAGGGGUGAGUGGAUAAAGGCUAACAACAUCAGGUAAUGAUGAACUCCUAUUAUUUAUUCUACAGUGAUAAACUGAAAGAUUCCAAGUGCUGUUCACUUCUCCAUGCAAAGAGGAUUCAAGAGGGAGAAGUAAUUAGAAGUGACAUUGCUGGAAUGUAUGACUCUAAAUUCUAGACUAUACUUCCUAUUCAGUCCUGUAUGCCUUGCCCUGAG
rnacentral:lncRNA from 1 species